rnacentral:rRNA from 1 species
UGGCAGUCAGAGGCGAUGAAGGACGUGCUAAUCUGCGAUAAGCGUCGGUAAGGUGAUAUGAACCGUUAUAACCGGCGAUUUCCGAAUGGGGAAACCCAGUGUGUUUCGACACACUAUCAUUAACUGAAUCCAUAGGUUAAUGAGGCGAACCGGGGGAACUGAAACAUCUAAGUACCCCGAGGAAAAGAAAUCAACCGAGAUUCCCCCAGUAGCGGCGAGCGAACGGGGAGCAGCCCAGAGCCUGAAUCAGUGUGUGUGUUAGUGGAAGCGUCUGGAAAGGCGCGCGAUACAGGGUGACAGCCCCGUACACAAAAAUGCACAUACUGUGAGCUCGAUGAGUAGGGCGGGACACGUGGUAUCCUGUCUGAAUAUGGGGGGACCAUCCUCCAAGGCUAAAUACUCCUGACUGACCGAUAGUGAACCAGUACCGUGAGGGAAAGGCGAAAAGAACCCCGGCGAGGGGAGUGAAAAAGAACCUGAAACCGUGUACGUACAAGCAGUGGGAGCCUCUUAAUGGGGUGACUGCGUACCUUUUGUAUAAUGGGUCAGCGACUUAUAUUCUGUAGCAAGGUUAACCGAAUAGGGGAGCCGAAGGGAAACCGAGUCUUAACUGGGCGUUAAGUUGCAGGGUAUAGACCCGAAACCCGGUGAUCUAGCCAUGGGCAGGUUGAAGGUUGGGUAACACUAACUGGAGGACCGAACCGACUAAUGUUGAAAAAUUAGCGGAUGACUUGUGGCUGGGGGUGAAAGGCCAAUCAAACCGGGAGAUAGCUGGUUCUCCCCGAAAGCUAUUUAGGUAGCGCCUCGUGAAUUCAUCUCCGGGGGUAGAGCACUGUUUCGGCAAGGGGGUCAUCCCGACUUACCAACCCGAUGCAAACUGCGAAUACCGGAGAAUGUUAUCACGGGAGACACACGGCGGGUGCUAACGUCCGUCGUGAAGAGGGAAACAACCCAGACCGCCAGCUAAGGUCCCAAAGUCAUGGUUAAGUGGGAAACGAUGUGGGAAGGCCCAGACAGCCAGGAUGUUGGCUUAGAAGCAGCCAUCAUUUAAAGAAAGCGUAAUAGCUCACUGGUCGAGUCGGCCUGCGCGGAAGAUGUAACGGGGCUAAACCAUGCACCGAAGCUGCGGCAGCGACACUAUGUGUUGUUGGGUAGGGGAGCGUUCUGUAAGCCUGUGAAGGUGUACUGUGAGGUAUGCUGGAGGUAUCAGAAGUGCGAAUGCUGACAUAAGUAACGAUAAAGCGGGUGAAAAGCCCGCUCGCCGGAAGACCAAGGGUUCCUGUCCAACGUUAAUCGGGGCAGGGUGAGUCGACCCCUAAGGCGAGGCCGAAAGGCGUAGUCGAUGGGAAACAGGUUAAUAUUCCUGUACUUGGUGUUACUGCGAAGGGGGGACGGAGAAGGCUAUGUUGGCCGGGCGACGGUUGUCCCGGUUUAAGCGUGUAGGCUGGUUUUCCAGGCAAAUCCGGAAAAUCAAGGCUGAGGCGUGAUGACGAGGCACUACGGUGCUGAAGCAACAAAUGCCCUGCUUCCAGGAAAAGCCUCUAAGCAUCAGGUAACAUCAAAUCGUACCCCAAACCGACACAGGUGGUCAGGUAGAGAAUACCAAGGCGCUUGAGAGAACUCGGGUGAAGGAACUAGGCAAAAUGGUGCCGUAACUUCGGGAGAAGGCACGCUGAUAUGUAGGUGAAGUCCCUUGCGGAUGGAGCUGAAAUCAGUCGAAGAUACCAGCUGGCUGCAACUGUUUAUUAAAAACACAGCACUGUGCAAACACGAAAGUGGACGUAUACGGUGUGACGCCUGCCCGGUGCCGGAAGGUUAAUUGAUGGGGUUAGCGGUAACGCGAAGCUCUUGAUCGAAGCCCCGGUAAACGGCGGCCGUAACUAUAACGGUCCUAAGGUAGCGAAAUUCCUUGUCGGGUAAGUUCCGACCUGCACGAAUGGCGUAAUGAUGGCCAGGCUGUCUCCACCCGAGACUCAGUGAAAUUGAACUCGCUGUGAAGAUGCAGUGUACCCGCGGCAAGACGGAAAGACCCCGUGAACCUUUACUAUAGCUUGACACUGAACAUUGAGCCUUGAUGUGUAGGAUAGGUGGGAGGCUUUGAAGUGUGGACGCCAGUCUGCAUGGAGCCGGCCUUGAAAUACCACCCUUUAAUGUUUGAUGUUCUAACGUUGGCCCCUGAUCGGGGUUGCGGACAGUGUCUGGUGGGUAGUUUGACUGGGGCGGUCUCCUCCUAAAGAGUAACGGAGGAGCACGAAGGUUGGCUAAUCCUGGUCGGACAUCAGGAGGUUAGUGCAAUGGCAUAAGCCAGCUUGACUGCGAGCGUGACGGCGCGAGCAGGUGCGAAAGCAGGUCAUAGUGAUCCGGUGGUUCUGAAUGGAAGGGCCAUCGCUCAACGGAUAAAAGGUACUCCGGGGAUAACAGGCUGAUACCGCCCAAGAGUUCAUAUCGACGGCGGUGUUUGGCACCUCGAUGUCGGCUCAUCACAUCCUGGGGCUGAAGUAGGUCCCAAGGGUAUGGCUGUUCGCCAUUUAAAGUGGUACGCGAGCUGGGUUUAGAACGUCGUGAGACAGUUCGGUCCCUAUCUGCCGUGGGCGCUGGAGAACUGAGGGGGGCUGCUCCUAGUACGAGAGGACCGGAGUGGACGCAUCACUGGUGUUCGGGUUGUCAUGCCAAUGGCACUGCCCGGUAGCUAAAUGCGGAAGAGAUAAGUGCUGAAAGCAUCUAAGCACGAAACUUGCCCCGAGAUGAGUUCUCCCUGACUCCUUGAGAGUCCUGAAGGAACGUUGAAGACGACGACGUUGAUAGGCCGGGUGUGUAAGCGCAGCGAUGCGUUGAGCUAACCGGUACUAAUGAACCGUGAGGCUUAACCUU